rfam:Angiostrongylus costaricensis strain Costa Rica genome assembly, scaffold: ACOC_contig0003112
GCCUCAUUGGCUCAGGGGCAGAGCGUCUGUCUUUUAAACAGAAGGUCGCUGGUUCGAUUCCAGCAUGAGGCA